rnacentral:rRNA from 1 species
GACGAACGCUGGCGGCGUGCCUAAUACAUGCAAGUCGAACGCUUCUUUCCUCCCGAGUGCUUGCACUCAAUUGGAAAGAGGAGUGGCGGACGGGUGAGUAACACGUGGGUAACCUACCCAUCAGAGGGGGAUAACACUUGGAAACGGGUGCUAAUACCGCAUAACAGUUUAUGCCGCAUGGCAUAAGAGUGAAAGGCGCUUUCGGGUGUCGUUGAUGGAUGGACCCGCGGUGCAUUAGCUAGUUGGUGAGGUAACGGCUCACCAAGGCCACGAUGCAUAGCCGACCUGAGAGGGUGAUCGGCCACACUGGGACUGAGACACGGCCCAGACUCCUACGGGAGGCAGCAGUAGGGAAUCUUCGGCAAUGGACGAAAGUCUGACCGAGCAACGCCGCGUGAGUGAAGAAGGUUUUCGGAUCGUAAAACUCUGUUGUUAGAGAAGAACAAGGACGUUAGUAACUGAACGUCCCCUGACGGUAUCUAACCAGAAAGCCACGGCUAACUACGUG